rnacentral:tRNA from 1 species
GUUGGAAUAGUUUAGUUGGUUAGAGCAUGUGGCCCUUAACCACAAGGUCGGAGGUUUAAGCCCUCUUUUUAGUG